AGGUGCAAUCAUACCAGCACUAAAGCAUCGGAUCCCAUAAGAACUUUGAAGUUAAGAGUGUUUGGGCAAGAGUAGUAUUAGGAUGGGUGACCCCCUGGGAAGUCCUCGUGUUGUACUCC
rnacentral:rRNA from 1 species